GAUGAACGCUGGCGGCGUGCCUAAUACAUGCAAGUCGAGCGAACGGACGAGAAGCUUGCUUCUCUGAUGUUAGCGGCGGACGGGUGAGUAACACGUGGAUAACCUACCUAUAAGACUGGGAUAACUUCGGGAAACCGGAGCUAAUACCGGAUGAUAUUUUGAACCGCAUGGUUCAAAAGUGAAAGACGGUCUUGCUGUCACUUAUAGAUGGAUCCGCGCUGCAUUAGCUAGUUGGUAAGGUAACGGCUUACCAAGGCAACGAUGCAUAGCCGACCUGAGAGGGUGAUCGGCCACACUGGAACUGAGACACGGCCCAGACUCCUGCGGGAGGCAGCAGUAGGGAAUCUUCCGCAAUGGGCGAAAGCCUGACGGAGCAACGCCGCGUGAGUGAUGAAGGUCUUCGGAUCGUAAAACUCUGUUAUGAGGGAAGAACAUAUGUGUAAGUACCUGUGCACAUCUUGACGGUACCUAAUCAGAAAGCCACGGCUAACUACGUG
rnacentral:rRNA from 1 species